rnacentral:rRNA from 1 species
AUUGAACGCUGGCGGCAUGCUUUACACAUGCAAGUCGAACGGCAGCGGGGGCUUCGGCCUGCCGGCGAGUGGCGAACGGGUGAGUAAUGCAUCGGAACGUGCCCAUGUCGUGGGGGAUAACGUAGCGAAAGCUACGCUAAUACCGCAUACGUCCUGAGGGAGAAAGCGGGGGGAUCUUUGGACCUCGCGCGAUUGGAGCGGCCGAUGUCGGAUUAGCUAGUAGGUGAGGUAAAGGCUCACCUAGGCGACGAUCCGUAGCGGGUCUGAGAGGAUGAUCCGCCACACUGGGACUGAGACACGGCCCAGACUCCUACGGGAGGCAGCAGUGGGGAAUUUUGGACAAUGGGGGCAACCCUGAUCCAGCCAUGCCGCGUGAGUGAAGAAGGCCUCGGUUGUAAG